rnacentral:rRNA from 1 species
GAUGAACGCUGACAGAAUGCUUAACACAUGCAAGUCAACUUGAAUUUGGGUUUUUAACUUAGAUUUGGGUGGCGGACGGGUGAGUAACGCGUAAAGAACUUGCCUCACAGUUAGGGACAACAUUUAGAAAUGAAUGCUAAUACCUGAUAUUAUGAUUUUAAGGCAUCUUAGAAUUAUGAAAGCUAUAAGCACUGUGAGAGAGCUUUGCGUCCCAUUAGCUAGUUGGAGAGGUAACAGCUCACCAAGGCGAUGAUGGGUAGCCGGCCUGAGAGGGUGAACGGCCACAAGGGGACUGAGACACGGCCCUUACUCCUACGGGAGGCAGCAGUGGGGAAUAUUGGACAAUGGACCGAGAGUCUGAUCCAGCAAUUCUGUGUGCACGAUGAAGUUUUUCGGAAUGUAAAGUGCUUUCAGUUGGGAAGAAAAAAAUGACGGUACCAACAGAAGAAGUGACGGCUAAAUACGUGCCAGCAGCCGCGGUAAUACGUAUGUCACGAGCGUUAUUCGGAUUUAUUGGGCGUAAAGCGCGUCUAGGUGGUUAUGUAAGUCUGAUGUGAAAAUGCAGGGCUCAACUCUGUAUUGCGUUGGAAACUGUAUAACUAGAGUACUGGAGAGGUAAGCGGAACUACGAGUGUAGAGGUGAAAUUCGUAGAUAUUUGUAGGAAUGCCGAUGGGGAAGCCAGCUUACUGGACAGAUACUGACGCUAAAGCGCGAAAGCGUGGGUAGCAAACAGG